UAUGCAGUGAUGAUUGGCGCAGGGGUACUGACCUCAGCUGGAUCAUGGGAGCUGAGUGCAUGGCUGCGUUUUUCAGGAUAGCUGACGUGUGGUUGGCUGCCUGCGAACAGCCUGCAUGAGACUGUCGCCUUACUGAGCUAA